AGCGAACGCUGGCGGCAGGCCUAACACAUGCAAGUCGAACGAAGCCUUCGGGCUUAGUGGCGGACGGGUGAGUAACACGUGGGAACGUACCUUUUGGUUCGGAACAACUCAGGGAAACUUGAGCUAAUACCGGAUGAGCCCUUAGGGGGAAAGAUUUAUCGCCGAAAGAGCGGCCCGCGUUAGAUUAGCUAGUUGGUGAGGUAAAGGCUCACCAAGGCUACGAUCUAUAGCUGGUCUGGGAGGAUGAUCAGCCACACUGGGACUGAGACACGGCCCAGACUCCUACGGGAGGCAGCAGUGGGGAAUCUUUCGCAAUGGGCGAAAGCCUGACGCAGCCAUGCCGCGUGAAUGAUGAAGGUCUUAGGAUUGUAAAAUUCUUUUACCAGGGACGAUAAUGACGGUACCUGGAGAAAAAGCCCCGGCUAACUUCGUGCCAGCAGCCGCGGUAACAC
rnacentral:rRNA from 1 species